rnacentral:lncRNA from 1 species
GCGUCUUGCGCUCAGCUUUCCCUCCUGUCUCCCUGAUCUCAUAUCUGGGAUUCGUUUCUUUGCCCCGAGUGCCUCCUGUAGCAAGCCUGCAACAGCAAACUCUGUCUGAGUAAAGUCAGAUUUUAGCUCGGCAGUUGUAUUAGUAACCCACUGCUGCUGCGACAAGUCGCCACAGGCGAGCGCAGCACAGAUUUAGUCUUACAGUUCUGCAGUCUCACUGGGCUCAAAUCCAGGUGCUCUAGAGGAGAGUGGUUGCCCUGCCUUUCCAGCUUCUAGAGGCGCCUGUAUUUCUUGGCUCCUGGCCAAUCCCCGCACCUUCCAAGCCGGCUGUAGCCUCUUCAGAUCUCUCUGACCCUCGCACUCCACCUCCCUCCCACAAGGAGGCUGGUGAUGACAAGGCCUGCCCUGGCAAUCUGGGAUGAUCCCAGAUCUCAAGGCCUGUGAUUUAAUCACAUCAUCCAGAGGGAGCUGGCCUGCGUCCCAAGUGUUCUGGGCCUGGCUGGGGGCGCAGUGCGGGGGGCGCAGGGGGUGGACACACAGAUGGGGGAUUGGGAGGCAAGAGCUGGGUGCUGGGGCGGUGAGGGGCGCAUGGCGUGCAGAGCACUAACGCAGACAUGCGGGACUGGGGUAAAGACUGGACUUUCCCAGCAGCCCCUGGGUGAGUGGGGAGGGCAGAGCAAGACAGGAGGUGGGCAGGGAGGCCUGGCGGGCAGCCCUUCCUCUAGGGCAGAUGGUGGCUGGAGGUGUGGGCUCAGGGGACCCUGGGGGUGCCCUGGUCUCCUCUGCCUCCCCGUCCAGCCAGGAUGGAUCUGCCACAGGGUUGCUGGUGGUGCCUGCUGACCAGUCGGAACCUGCACCUCCAUGCUGCAGGAAGUGGUCUUGGUACCUGGGCCCCUGGGCUCUGGAGACCUCCCUGGGGAAGGUAAACCAUCCUUGUGGAUCUGGGGCCCCUCCCUGGGCACAGAGGCAGCUUUGGAGCCCUGACUGCACUUCCUCCAGUGAGAGCCAGUGUAUGAGUGGCUGCGGGUGCUGGUAUCCGGCAGUCAACCAUCCUGAGAGCUCAGCUCCAGAGCAUCUCAACGUCUCCCUCAUGCCUCUCAGGAACGGGCCAGGAUGGCCUGCUGGCUCCAAGGCACCCCUGGAGGGCCUGAUGCCGGGGAAGGGCAGUGGAGCCCAUCAUCUGCACAGACUCAGCCACCUGUGUGGGACCAGGCACUGCCGGGGCCUGGGUGUGAGCAGACAGGUGCAGUGGGUGCCCAGCGGGUCCCUUCACCUUCUGACCUGCUCUUCUCCGUCAGAGGCAGCAGAUUCCGAGCUCGCCGGCCCGGAGCAGCGGCGCCCUCGGGGCGGCUGGACAGGCCCCGCGCCAUGCCCGAGGGCUGAGUGCCGCCGCCGCCGCCGCAGGGCCUCGUCCCGCCUCGCGUGGGACCGCGCGCGCCCAGGU